GGGGAAUAUUGCACAAUGGGCGAAAGCCUGAUGCAGCAACGCCGCGUGAGUGACGAAGGCCUUCGGGUUGUAAAGCUCUGUCUUCUGGGACGAUAAUGACGGUACCAGAGGAGGAAGCCACGGCUAACUACGUGCCAGCAGCCGCGGUAAUACGUAGGUGGCAAGCGUUGUCCGGAUUUACUGGGCGUAAAGGAUGCGUAGGCGGAUAUUUAAGUCAGAUGUGAAAAUCCCGGGCUCAACUUGGGAACUGCAUUUGAAACUGGGUAUCUAGAGUGCAGGAGAGGAAAGCGGAAUUCCUAGUGUAGCGGUGAAAUGCGUAGAGAUUAGGAAGAACACCAGUGGCGAAGGCGGCUUUCUGGACUGUAACUGACGCUGAGGCAUGAAAGCGUGGGGAGCAAAC
rnacentral:rRNA from 1 species